rnacentral:rRNA from 1 species
UACAGAGGGGGCAAGCGUUGUUCGGAAUUACUGGGCGUAAAGGGCGCGUAGGCGGCCUUCUAAGUCAUGCGUGAAAUCCCCGGGCUCAACCCGGGAACUGCGUCUGAUACUGGAAGGCUUGAAUCCGGGAGAGGGAUGUGGAAUUCCAGGUGUAGCGGUGAAAUGCGUAGAUAUCUGGAGGAAUACCGGUGGCGAAGGCGGCAUCCUGGACCGAGAUUGACACUGAUGAGCGAAAGCUAGGGGAGCAAACGGG